UAGGUGAACAUAGUUUAUAAAAAAUGUUAGUUCGUGACUCUAACGAAAAGAGAUAAAACUCUUUGUCCACCGG
rnacentral:tRNA from 1 species